rnacentral:rRNA from 1 species
GAUGAACGCUGGCGGCGUGCCUAAUACAUGCAAGUCGAGCGAACAGAUGAGGAGCUUGCUCCUCUGACGUUAGCGGCGGACGGGUGAGUAACACGUGGAUAACCUACCUAUAAGACUGGGAUAACUUCGGGAAACCGGAGCUAAUACCGGAUAAUAUAUUGAACCGCAUGGUUCAAUAGUGAAAGACGGUUUUGCUGUCACUUAUAGAUGGAUCCGCGCCGCAUUAGCUAGUUGGUAAGGUAACGGCUUACCAAGGCAACGAUGCGUAGCCGACCGGAGAGGGGGAUCGGCCACACUGGAACUGAGACACGGUCCAGACUCCUACGGGAGGCAGCAGUAGGGAAUCUUCCGCAAUGGGCGAAAGCCUGACGGAGCAACGCCGCGUGAGUGAUGAAGGUCUUCGGAUCGUAAAACUCUGUUAUUAGGGAAGAACAAAUGUGUAAGUAACUAUGCACGUCUUGACGGUACCUAAUCAGAAAGCCACGGCUAACUACGUG